UACGAAGGGUGCAAGCGUUACUCGGAAUUACUGGGCGUAAAGCGUGCGUAGGUGGUGAGUUAAGUCUGUCGUGAAAGCCCCGGGCUCAACCUGGGAGUGGCGAUGGAUACUGGCUCGCUAGAGUGCGGUAGAGGAGAGUGGAAUUCCCGGUGUAGCAGUGAAAUGCGUAGAGAUCGGGAGGAACAUCAGUUGCGAAGGCGGCUCUCUGGACCAGCACUGACACUGAGGCACGAAAGUGUGGGGAUCAAACAGG
rnacentral:rRNA from 1 species